UUUAAAUGAGAGUUUGAUCCUGGCUCAGGACGAACGCUGGCGGCGUGCCUAACACAUGCAAGUCGAGCGAGGGGUUUA
rnacentral:rRNA from 1 species